rnacentral:rRNA from 1 species
AUACGGAGGGCGCGAGCGUUGUUCGGAAUCAUUGGGCGUAAAGCGCGUGCAGGCGGCUUGGCAAGUCGGGUGUGAAAGCCUGGGGCUCAACCCCGGAACUGCACUCGAAACUGCCUCGCUAGAGUCCCGGAGAGGAGAGCGGAAUUCCCGGUGUAGAGGUGAAAUUCGUAGAUAUCGGGAGGAACACCAGUGGCGAAGGCGGCUCUCUGGACGGUGACUGACGCUGAGACGCGAAAGCGUGGGGAGCAAACAGGAUUAGAUACCCCGGUAGUCC